GAUGAACGCUGGCGGCGUGCCUAAUACAUGCAAGUCGAGCGAACGGACGAGAAGCUUGCUUCUCUGAUGUUAGCGGCGGACGGGUGAGUAACACGUGGAUAACCUACCUAUAAGACUGGGAUAACUUCGGGAAACCGGAGCUAAUACCGGAGAAUAUUUUGAACCGCAUGGUUCAAAAGUGAAAGACGGUCUUGCUGUCACUUAUAGAUGGAUCCGCGCUGCAUUAGCUAGUUGGUAAGGUAACGGCUUACCAAGGCAACGAUGCAUAGCCGACCUGAGAGGGUGAUCGGCCACACUGGAACUGCGACACGGUCCAGACUCCUACGGGAGGCAGCAGUAGGGAAUCUUCCGCAAUGGGCGAAAGCCUGACGGAGCAACGCCGCGUGAGUGAUGAAGGUCUUCGGAUCGUAAAACUCUGUUAUUAGGGAAGAACAUAUGUGUAAGUAACUGUGCACAUCUUGACGGUACCUAAUCAGAAAGCCACGGCUAACUACGUG
rnacentral:rRNA from 1 species